AUCGAACGCUGGCGGCAGGCCUAACACAUGCAAGUCGAACGGUAACAGGAAGAAGCUUGCUUCUUUGCUGACGAGUGGCGGACGGGUGAGUAAUGUCUGGGAAACUGCCUGAUGGAGGGGGAUAACUACUGGAAACGGUAGCUAAUACCGCAUAACGUCGCAAGACCAAAGAGGGGGACCUUCGGGCCUCUUGCCAUCGGAUGUGCCCAGAUGGGAUUAGCUAGUAGGUGGGGUAACGGCUCACCUAGGCGACGAUCCCUAGCUGGUCUGAGAGGAUGACCAGCCACACUGGAACUGAGACACGGUCCAGACUCCUACGGGAGGCAGCAGUGGGGAAUAUUGCACAAUGGGCGCAAGCCUGAUGCAGCCAUGCCGCGUGUAUGAAGAAGGCCUUCGGGUUGUAAAGUACUUUCAGCGGGGAGGAAGGGAGUAAAGUUAAUACCUUUGCUCAUUGACGUUACCCGCAGAAGAAGCACCGGCUAACUCCGUG
rnacentral:rRNA from 1 species